CAGUCAAGCAGAGUACUUAUCUCUAUUUAUAUGGAACCAACAAAUUCACUAUAAUUUGAUCACAAAACACUUUAAGAGAAGAAGUUUUAUUCAGGAGGCAGUUCAUUUAUCUUAAGCGUUCGGGAAUCAAUUCCCUGUCCUCCUUUGUCUUAAGCACGCUUCAGUAAAUGCGAGGAUUACAAGCUCUCACUAGAAAGAUUGUAUCCCCAACCAUCAAAUACAGAAGAAAAAAACAGCGAAAAUAAAAUUAGAAACCAAAAGAUUUUACAUUUUGCAUCUUCGGACUUCAAUAUUUAUUAGCACGCGGAGUAUCUUCUUGAAGGUAUACUAUGCAUAAGCUCUUGGUAAGCUGCUAAAUUUGAUUAUAUUUUGUGGCGCAAACACAAUUUCUCGAGCCUCACGCGACCAAUGCAGCAAAGAAUUGGCACAUUCGCUUCACUUGACGACAGUCACGAGUAUAUAUCUCUUUUAUUGAUGCAGCCGACUCUGUCUGAAGAGUUCUCUAGAAAGCUAAGUCAACGUGGGAUGCACUUAUAGUGUACUAGUAAAAAGACAUCUUGUAGAUGUGAUGACCUGAAUAAAUAAAGCAUUGGGUUUGCAAGAAUGUCCUUCAAUACGAAGCACAAACUCCAUGAUGAGAAAUCAGGUGAACGGUUGGAAAGACUAAUCACUUCGGUGCCAAUCUUAUCGGGCACACAUAGAAAGCAACACAUCGAGCUGCUUUAGCCAACAUAAAUCGCUCAUUUUCUGUCAAUGGCCUCUCAAUGACCUUCACAAUGUUUGCAUCCUGUGCAAGAGAUUUCAAGUAUCACUAAGUACUGAUUAUAGAAUACAACAAAUAUACUGAUUGUCACCUCUAUAUUUCGUAGUGAAAAUAUAAAUGAGAUCCCCACUCAUAUUGUAGCACUUGGUCCACAACCAAAUUUUCUUAGCAUUUGGAUCUCAAACCUUUCAAAUUUGUAGCAUUAGAGCCCCACAUUAACGGUUUACAUCC
rnacentral:lncRNA from 1 species